AUGGUGCUUCCUAUUCGACCAGUUGAGGAUGGAUCGAUUAGUUCAUGGGUUGAAAGGGAGGGCGAAAGAACAGAAUACUCCAGGCCACAACUUCUGGAGGACAUCUGGUGUCAUAUACAUUCCCUACUACCAAUGCGAGAUGCUGCCCGAGCUGCUUGCGUGUCUCGUGCCUUUCUAAGUUUAUGGAGAUGCCAUCCAAAUCUUACAUUCAGUAUGGAAGCACUGGGCAUGAAUAUGAAUCCGUGUGGAGAGGAUGAAAUAGGAAAUUUCACCAAAAAAGUUGACCACAUCUUAAAAAACCGCUCACGCAUUGGUGUGAAGACACUCAGGAUUGUUUUCCGUUAUUCCAAUGCCAUGGUCAGCAAUGUUGAUAGGUGGCUUCAGACAGCUGUUACACCUGAGAUUGAAGAACUCACUGUUCAGCUUACACCUGGGAUUGAAGAACUCACUGUUCAGCUUACACCUGGGAUUGAAGAACUCACUGUUCAGCUAUCUUCAGCAUCGGGAACAUACUACAACUUCCCAUGGUCUCUUUUAGCUAAUGGGAAUGGAAACUCGAUGCAGCAUCUACGCCUUUCCCAUUGUGUUUUCUCUCCCAGCGUUGAACUUGGCUUAAAAAAGAUGACAAGGAUUGAUUUGUGUUAUGUCUGUAUCACAGAGGAGCAGCUGGGGUGCCUUCUUCACAAUUGCUUUGUUCUCCAAUGGAUGCGACUCUCACAAUGCAGUCCGCUAACUUGCCUUAAGAUUCCGUUCCAUCUGCAACAGCUCAGAUACCUGAAGGUGUUUGAAUGCAGGUCUCUACAGGUGAUAGGGAUAGAAGCUCCAAACCUCGUCAGUUUUAAUUUUCAUGAUUCCCACCAGGUACAGAUAUCAUUUGGAGUAGCAUUGCAAUUGAAGAAGCUCGGCAUGUCCCAUCCUGGUGCUGUAUGUUAUGCUCGUGCUGAUCUCCCAUUGAGCUUGCCAAAUGUUGAAGAUCUUUCCCUGAGUUCAUGUAGUGAGAUGGUCGAUACACCAAUGCUGCCUAGCAAAUUCUUACACCUCAAGUACUUGAGUGUCAGUCUUUGUACAGUGACAUUUUCGCCGGCCUAUGACUAUUGUUCUCUCAUAUCCUUCUUUGAUGCUGCUCCUUCCUUGGAUACUUUCUUCUUGAAUGUGUUGCAGAAAGACAUGAAGCAUGAGUCAAUCGUGGGAGACCAUUCAAAUUUGAGGCAGGUACCAGGACACCGCCAUGAUAACCUUAAGACAGUGAAGAUCAUCGGUUUCUCCUCGGCGAAGAGCUUGGUUGAGCUGACAUGCCAUAUCAUUGAGAAUGCGACGUCACUCGAAUGCCUUACAUUGGACACGACACGAGGGCAUCCUUGGGCCAGCUGCUCAUCCAACAGUACUGGCAAGUGCUUGCUGUUGCACUUGGACUUUUUGGCGGAAGCUCGUAAGGGGCUCUCGGCUAUCAGGACAUAUGUUGAGCCAAAGGUUCCCUCCAGAGUCAAGCUAAAUGCCGUGGAGCCUUGCCGCCGAUGCCAUGACCUCGAGCCGACGCCAUGA
rnacentral:rRNA from 1 species